rnacentral:lncRNA from 1 species
UCAUAUUCCAAGUCCUCUGGAUCCUUUAACAUAGAAGCUGCUAAGUCUUCUAUUAUCUUGACUGUGGUUCCAUGAUAUUUGAAUUGUUUCUUUUUGGUUGCUUGCAAUAUUUUCUCCUUGACCUGGGAGAUUUGGAAUUUGGUUAUAAUAUUCUUAGGAGUUAUCCUUUUGGGAAUCUCUUUUAGGAGGUGAUUGGUGGAUUCUUUCAAUUUCUGCUCUUACCCAGCUCUCUUUGUGGUCCCAGGAUGGCUCCGAUCUGAAUAGAGCUCAACAGGUGGAACUGCAUAAGGAGGAUACCAGCAGAGACCAGCUUGACAAUAGGAAAGAACUUCCUUGGGGAGCAAAAUUGGAACUGCCACCUAUGGUCAUAGAGCCAGACAGGAUGGCUCCGAUCUGAAUAGAGCUCAACAGGUGGAACUGCAUAAGGAGGAUACCAGCAGAGACCAGCUUGACAAUAGGAAAGAACUUCCUUGGGGAGCUAAAUUGGAACUGCCACCUAUGGUCAUAGAGCCAGACAGGUAGUGGAGAGAUUUCUAUCAUUUCCAUUGCCUGAGAGGGAUGUCCAAUAAUAAUUCCUUUCUUGGCUUCUAUUUUUAAUAUUAAAGGGAUUUCUCAACCCCAGGACGAAUAUUUUUUUC